rnacentral:rRNA from 1 species
CCCAUUGAUUGACGGUGCUUGCACCUGAUUGACCUUUGACGCCAACGAGUGGCGGACGGGUGAGUAACACGUAGCUUACCUGCCCAGAAGCGGGGGACAACAUUUGGAAACAGAUGCUAAUACCGCAUAACAACGUUGUUCGCAUGAACAACGCUUAAAAGAUGGCUUCUCGCUAUCACUUCUGGAUGGACCUGCGGUGCAUUAGCUCGUUGGUGGGGUAACGGCCUACCAAGGCGAUGAUGCAUAGCCGAGUUGAGAGACUGAUCGGCCACAAUGGGACUGAGACACGGCCCAUACUCCUACGGGAGGCAGCAGUAGGGAAUCUUCCACAAUGGGCGCAAGCCUGAUGGAGCAACACCGCGUGAGUGAAGAAGGGUUUCGGCUCGUAAAGCUCUGUUGUUAAAGAAGAACACGUAUGAGAGUAACUGUUCAUACGUUGACGGUAUUUAACCAGAAAGUCACGGCUAACUACGUGCCAGCAGCCGCGGUAAUACGUAGGUGGCAAGCGUUAUCCGGAUUUAUUGGGCGUAAAGAGAGUGCAGGCGGUUUUCUAAGUCUGAUGUGAAAGCCUUCGGCUUAACCGGAGAAGUGCAUCGGAAACUGGAUAACUUGAGUGCAGAAGAGGGUAGUGGAACUCCAUGUGUAGCGGUGGAAUGCGUAGAUAUAUGGAAGAACACCAGUGGCGAAGGCGGCUACCUGGUCUGCAACUGACGCUGAGACUCGAAAGCAUGGGUAGCGAACAGGAUUAGAUACCCUGGUAGUCCAUGCCGUAAACGAUGAGUGCUAGGUGUUGGAGGGUUUCCGCCCUUCAGUGCCGGAGCUAACGCAUUAAGCACUCCGCCUGGGGAGUACGACCGCAAGGUUGAAACUCAAAGGAAUUG